AAAAUUAUAAUUAUUUUAUCAAGAACAGUAGAGGGGCAAAGUCAACUCCAAGAUAGCUGAGCUAGUAAUUAGCUCUAUGUUCAUAUCGAGACGAUUUCAAAAAGGAUGAAAUGCCAGGCUCACUGUGUAUACAGUGUCAGACACAAACCACUGUGUUUAGUAAGACCUGCAACAGUUGUUUCUUUAACCAUCCAAAAGAGAUGUUACAAGCGUUGAAGAAGUAUGAUUACGAAUGGGAACACAAUGAUUGCACCCAAUUAUAAUAAUAGCUCUCAGAUAUUGACUUCCACUAAAGUAUUGCUCUACAAAUUACAUACUCUGGGAUUUGUUCCCCUUCUCCUGCUUGGAAAAAGGAGAAAUGGAACAAAACAUAUCGAUAUGGAUUCCUUUUGCCCUCACCCUCAAGUCAUAAAAGAAACGGGCUCUAUUGAAACCUUGAGAAAUAUUUAUUUAGUUCUUCUGAAUGUCACACUCGGCACCGAGUCCCAAUGCCAGUUCUCCCCAGUGUCUUCAGAGCCAGACGGGACCCCUGCACCAGCCGAGGUAGAGGGAGCCCCUACAACAAUCGAUCCCGUGGGAACCCCUGCACCAACAGAGCUACACAGAAUACCCAUAUCCAUCCGACUGAACAUAAUACCCACACCAACAGCGACGUGCAAACACAACACACUAAUCAAUCCAGUGGAAACCCCUACAACUAUCAAUCCAGCAAGAACCCCGGCACCAACCAAGCGAGACAGAAUCCCCAUAUCUUUACGACGGAACCUAAUCCCCACACCAACAGAGCCAGGCAAACCAUCCACACCAACCAAUCCAGUGGGAAUCCCUACAACAACCAAUCUAGUUGGCACUCCUACAGCAAUUGAUCCAUCAGGAACCCCUGCACCAACUAUUCUAGACAGAAUCCCCACAUCCAUCAGCCUGAACAAAAUCACCACACUAACAGAGCCAGGCAAACACUCCACAUCAACCAAUCCUGUGGGAACCCCUUCACCAAUUAAUUCAGUGGGGACCCCUGCACCAGCCGAGCUACAUGGACUCCCCACACCAACAGACCCAGGAAACCCCUCCACAUCAACCAAGCUAGACGGAAUCCCCACAUACAUCUGCCUGAAUGGAAUCCCCACAUCCAUCUGCAUGAACGGAACCCCCACCUCAAUACAGUCCAAAAUCCCCAGACCAAUACAGCCCAAAAUCCCCAGACCUAUAGCCAAAAUUCCCCACACCAAUACAGCCAGGCAAACCCUCCACACAAAAUAAUCCAGUGGGAACCCCUAUACCAAUUGAUGAAACAUCUGACUCCUCUGAGCACCAGGACCAAGAAAUGCAAAGGCCAAAAAGAAAAAUGUGGACAGAUGGAGAUCUAAUCGUUGCUGAAGACUGUGCAACCAUUCAAGCACAAAAGAAAAUCAAAACAACAGGUAUAACUGAUAUUUCAAUUCACUUAUUUAGGCUUAAGGUUCUGUACAAUCAUUCUACAUUUUUGUAGAAUUUUGUGCCACAUUGUCACGAUAAUGCAAAAUGCAUCAUAUGUUGCAAAACACAUCAUUAUGAGGAUGUGGCAUAAUACACUUUGCAUCUUGAAGUGCUAUAUCUUGAAAUCUUGAUUGCUGACAUGUAAAACAUUUUGGAACUGGAUCAACAGUGCACUAAUGAUGAAGAAGAAAACAAAACAUUUUUGAGUGGAUUAUUCCAUUAAUACUAUAAAUGGAGCUGAAAAACAUAAAAUAAGGAUUGUAUCAAUAAUUUGCUAUCAUAUAGCAUUGAGACAAAAAUAUUAAAUAGUUUUUACGAUCCUGUGUUUUUAAGCUUUCAAAUGAUAUUAAAGUAUUAAAGUAACGUAUUAUCUUUAUUAGUUGCAGGGCUAUGGGUAUUUCAUGAUAGUGGGGGGUCCAAAAUGAGCCAGCUGAGCACCUCUAUCCCCUGAAUGUUUGGUCAUUCAGGUGCAAGAUGAGCCAUGCUCAUCAUUUCUACUGUCGGCAUGUAUAGAAAGUUUGAUUUAAAUAAAAAAGACGAUUCAUUUAAUAUGCAAUAACCUCACGGCUACUUAAUCACGUUCACUCUCAAAAGUAUCACCACAGACAAAAUAUACCAGAUACAUCAUUGGUGAUAUAAAUCUGAAGCAUCCGUUUAGAACUUCCACUCACCAGCAAAUAUAGUGAGAAGAACAUGCAGUAUGUUGAGCGCAGAACAUUUUUUGCUCACACUACAGACUGCUAUAUCGAUCUGCUAAUACAUGACUAGUAAAGGGCCAGUGCACACUUUUUUUUUUACCUUAUAUUUAUUUAUUUAUUAUUCUGAUUUUUCAGGGGGUGCUGUAUGACAGACUCCAUGAAAUAAUGACCUCUUCCUAAAUAUUUGGUAAAAUAUAAAACAUUUUGUUAUGGUUUCCUAGAAGCAAGGGUGGCUCAUAUAAUCCAUUUGGCUCAAUUUACCCCACUCUCCCCGCCACCAAAUGUUGUGGACUUGACGCUUUGCCAAAGUUAAAAAAAAAUGUUGUUGUUUAGGAGUCCAAGGGUGAAUUGAGUUCUUGCACACACAGACUAUUUGAUCUGUUCGUAGAAGAGUGGCUGAACAUGGAUACGGAUAGGCCCAUGGUGUCAAGAUAUGCAGAGGUAGACACCGAAAUAUUAGAUCAACUAGAAAAACACAAAGGUAAUUGAUUUAAUAUGGAAUUGCCUCAUGGCUACCUCAUAACUUUCACUAUAAAAAGGUAUCAUUGUGAAUGAUUUACGUUCUGCAACUUUGAAGGCGUCCGCAUGCUUCCCAGCCAAAACAGUUCGGAAGAGUUCGUGCAUGGUAACAUUUUGAGACGUUUUUGUUCGUUUUGGACUUCGGUGAGGGUUUUUUCGGUUACACCAUUUUUUUUUUCUUAAGGCAAGCUGAAGUUCGGAACUGAAGUCUACGCCCGCCCCUUCGGUGAUUGGGAUUCUUCAAUAAAGUAUUUUUUUGUCACGAGAGAACUCGUUUUGAUGCAAAUCUUUUCAUUAAGAAAUACUGCACCAAACAUAUUAGUCUCGCAAUUUUACAUCUAACUAAGAUCUCCUUUACAAAAACGUCUAAAUGAAUAACAGAUUUCUUGAGUUAUUUAGAUCCAUCCUGACUGUUUUGAGGAAGCGUAUACUGGCUACGGCGUAUCAAAAUGGACCAACAGUACUAUUGCCAUGUUCUCGUUUUUCAAGCAAAGGUCUUUUGAAGGGAGUAGGCGAGCACACUCGUUCGGGUUCGCCUAGCCGCCAGCCGAAAUGAAGCAUGCUGACGCCUUAACAAAACAUUGUCACAGUUAUCCCAAGGAUGAAUUUGCAAACAUAACAUUUGAUUCAUUUGAUCUGUUUGUAGAAGAGUCGCUGACCAUGGAUACGGAUAGGCCCAUGGUGUCAAGACAUGCAGAGGUAGACACUGGAGUAUUAGAUCAAUUAGAAAAGAGCAGCAUUGUACAAGCAACCAACAAGCAAACUUUGUGGGCUAUAAACUGCUUUAAGGACUGGCUGGCAGAGAAACAGAUGAUAGUGGAUUUUUCAACCAUUGAGAAAUCUGAAAUGAAUGUCCUCUUGCGAGAUUUUUAGUGUUUUGUUCGAAGGGGUCAAGGUGGGGAGUAUUGCAUCCCAAGCUAUAUCGGAAUCCGGGCUGGCGUAAACAGAUUCAUUAACCUCCCUCCCCUUAGCAGAUCCUGGUGCUUGAUGAAGGACAGUGAGUUUAACUCCUCUAAUAAUGUAUUUCUUGGGGUACUAAAGAAACUCAGACGAGAGGGCAGGGACAAAACUACCCAUCCUAAGGUGAUUACAGCAAAAGACCUUGAGAUUCUUCAAAACUCUACUGUGCUAAGCCCCUACACACACAGAGGACUAGUGAACAAAGUGUGGUUUGAUAUCCAGUUACACUUUGGCCCCAGAGGAAAAGAGGGCAAUAGAAGGCUAACGCCACAGUCGUUUGUAAUAAGGUACGAUGAAAACGGAGCAAAAUAUGCAACGCUGACUUCCAAAGAAGAAAGACCGAACCACAAAGAUGCAGAACUGGCAGAAUCGCUGUGGAAUCAUGUUUCAGAACUCUGAUAGUCCACUCUGUCCAGUCGCCUCCUUGGAGAAGUAUCUGAGCAAGAUCCUGCCAGAUGCCACCGCCCUCUACCUCCAUCCUAAGAAUAUGGUCAUCACCAGUGACAGCAUGUGGUAUAGCCAGGAGCCAAUGGGGUUCAACUACCUUUCAUCAAAUGCUGCCCCGACUGUGCCAGGAGGCUGGUACAUUGGAAAAGUACACAAACAAUUGCUUCCGAACUUUGCGCGAGAUCAUGUCUGUCAGCAGACUGAUAGUUCCUUGAAGAGUGUCGUAGCUGAAUCAGAAUUAGUUAGUUUGGACUAUACUGUUGGCAGUUGCAUUUUCCUCUCUUCUCUAGGGAAAAGUCACUUGGGGCCCAGAGAGGGGAGAGGUCAGGCUUGUCUUUUACAUGUCUGGUAAUAGGCAGAAUAUCAGAAAGGGAAAAGUCAGGUUUAAACAUUGUCUUCAUAAUGAAUAUAUCUGUUAAACCAUGUGAAGGGCUCCACCAUGUCUGUACUCCAGUCACUCCCUCCUUUUGCCAUUGGGGGGAGGAGUAUGGUAAUGUCUGGAACCAUUGUAUGUCCCGCUGAUGUUGCCCUUAUCUUGAUUUAGUAUAUGACCUAGAGGCUCACUACUCUCCGGGAGUUUGUCCAUGAGGGGUGUAUUUGAGAUGGGAGUAUCUAGAAUUGACAAUUGAUAUAUGCCAUUGGAUGAGGAAAUGUUUUGGUAAUAUGAAGUACCAAGAACGAGAUUAGAACCUCGUCUUAGAGAGCAAACUGAACGAUAAUUUAUGGCUAUGGUAAAAUGCAUCCUCUCUCUCAAGUAAAAGGCCUUUGUGCUGUUUUCCUAUUAUCUGUGGUUUGUCAUGUAAGUGAGAGGGGUGGAUCUUUCCUAUAAAAGAUCUGUUGCCAUUAUGUUGACACUCUCAGAAUUCAUUUAUAGACACUGAAUUGAUCUGAGAGUCACAGGGCUAUGGUGAAGCUCAUAUUAUUAAAAGAUUAAGUUUAAAGUAUAA